rnacentral:rRNA from 1 species
GAACUGUGCGAACGUUAUUCGGAAUCACUGGGCUUACAGGGUGCGUAGGCGGCUUGUUAAGUAGGGUGUGAAAGCCCCCGGCUCAACCGGGGAAUUGCGCCCUAAACUGGCGAGCUGGAGUGAGAUAGGGGUGUGUGGAACUUCCGGUGGAGCGGUGAAAUGUGUUGAUAUCGGAAGGAACGCCGGUGGCGAAAGCGACACACUGGAUCUUGUCUGACGCUGAGGCACGAAAGCCAGGGGAGCGAACGGGAUUAGAUACCCCGGUAGUCCACGCCCUAAACGAUGUCAACUAGGUGUUGGGAGCGCAAGUUCUCAGUACCGCAGCUAACGCGUGAAGUUGACCGCCUGGGGAGUACGGUCGCAAGAUUA